UUCAAGCUAAGGGUAGUUGUACCCUUGACUUUGGGUGUUUUUCAAAAAAAAAUUGAUAUCUGAUUGUGCUUCAUACACGUGCAUCCCUCCCAAAACCCUUUUCUAUUCUCUCUGUCAACACAAGAGUUUGACAGAUAAAGUCAGUUUAUUUUCCAGUUUCCUUCGAAGUUUUCACGGUAGAGACCGAAAGAAACAUAGUCGGCGAUUUUCCGGCAAUUGGCCGAGCUCCGUCGCGUGGUAGGCCUCAACCCACUAAGUGGAGACUAAGAAAUCUCAUGAUGGUGACGGAUCUCCGGUGGUGUAGAUCGACGUAGUUAAGCUUUUUAACUGGAUUCGUAAGUGGGUGAUUGGGGAUUUCACCAAAAGUGUAUGCAUCUUGAAAGAAGCGGAUUUGAAGGUGAAAGCAUACUUUAUUGGUGAACAGCGAAAGAGCUGUUGAAUUCUUUGGGAAGGUAUACCUUUUUUUGUUAUUUUAUUCUUUGAGACAAAAAUUGGGUCUGAAUUUUGAUUUUUUUAGCCAGGUAGUUCUCUUGACUUUCCUAUAAAUACUUUGAGAUUGACAUGAAUUUGUGGUUCAACAUGUGGCAUUAUAUGUUUACACAAUUAAUCGUACUUUUGAUAUCAAAAUUUGACUUAUUUCAUCACAAAUGUGUAGAUAGCUUUGUUGAUUUGAACAGGGAUCGGACUCGAAUUAAAGAAAAGAAAAUUAAAAUAAGAGGUGCCCAUAUUUAUAUAUAGAUGAGAUAGAUAAAAUUUAUUUGUUUCUGUAUGUUGAGUGAAGGUGCUUUAGAGUUGGGUUCAACUCAAUUAUAUGAAAUGUGGAUGAGUUGUUUCAUCUUGGCAUAUUGUUUAUUCUAUUUAUUUGCUGAAGAUGACUUUGCCUCAAUGAGAUUUAUUGUUGCUGCUCAACAUGCUACUUCAUGUACUCUGAAUGAUUUGAAGAAAUCAUUGGGUUUGCGAUAUAAAUUGUUGUUUAUCAAUAUGCUGAAAUGGAAAUUAAUGCUCCAAGUGUAGUGAAAAGUGGAUGACAUGUAACAAUAUCUCAUCAUAUUUGUUAAUGACAACAUUGCAUUGAGUUUUGAAGUAAUUUUCUGCAACAAAAUUUUUGUUCAACAUUAUUUCAAUCUCAUUAGUUGAUUUUCUCAAUGCUUCACAAUGCAAAUUGGAGUUGCAAGCAUAUAAGCAUGAUGUCUCAGGUUGGAGAAUCAUGAAUUCAUGAUGAUGUGGAAGUUGGCAUGAAAAGGUCACCAUCCUCGAAAAGAACAUGCGGAUGGUGUUUCCAUGGUACAUGUAGGACUUGACUUAAUUACUGUGGUAAUGUUGUGUUUAUGAUGCGUUUAAUUUUUGAGCUCACAUGGGACUGAGAUAAUGUGAUAUAAUUCAUGCCCAUAGGUGAAGAUUAAGUCGUUCACCACGUAAUGGAUGGGUUGUGUGUGUCGUUGAACAUGCCCGUGUUUGAGAUAUAGGAUGUGAAUUUGUGGUUUGAGUAUGACACUUUGAUAAUAGAAGGGAAAUGGGAGAAUGAGCAUUAUAUCGUUGGGAUACGUGUACCAGAGGGCUUCAACAGGGAGCAUCAUAUGAUCAAGAGGGAGAUGUUGGAUGGAGGGCUUCCUAUGAAAACAACGGUUCGUUCCGUGUAUAUCGCUACAUGAUUAACACAUACGACUGCUAGCUAUAGAUAUUAUAAUAUUAGUUCUAAAGCUAAGAGACAAUGAAUCAGUGACUUUAGUAGCUAUAGGUAGAAAUUAAGUGAAUGUGGCCUUCAACUCAUAUUGUGAUUUGAUAAGAGUUAUUAGGGUCCUGGUGAACCUAACCAGAAUAAAAAGGGUUAUUGGAUUA